CAACCCUCAAGCCCAGCUUGAUGAUGGGCUUCACCCGCAAGGGCGUGCCUUAAAAUCAGUGGCGGUGCCAUCUGGCUUCAAGCGUAGUAAAUUUCCUCGCUUAGGAGUCUGGUGGUUACUUGCCAACAACCCUAAUUUUUAUCAAA
rnacentral:misc_RNA from 1 species